rnacentral:rRNA from 1 species
GCUUACGGCCAUACACCCUGAGCGCGCCCGAUCUCGUCUGAUCUCGGAAGCUAAGCAGGGUCGGGCCUGGUUAGUACUUGGAUGGGAGACCACCUGGGAAUACCAGGUGCUGUAAGCU